AAAAAUGUUUGGUCUCGUGCCAAAUCAACACCUGUGUGCACUAUUGUCUGUAUUUGGUAGUCUAGGAGGGGCGACCCGCAAGGGCCUGCCCAUAUACUCCGUGACCCAGUCAACUUCUAGUUGGUUGGUGUCGGGCUACCGCCAUUUUGAAAAACCUUUUGUUUGUUUUGUUUUUGUCUGAACGAAGAGUUAAUCUUCAUUGAUUAAUGAUUUGAAUA
rnacentral:misc_RNA from 1 species